rnacentral:pre_miRNA from 1 species
CAAGUACUCCCUCCGUCCGGAAUUACUUGUCAUCAAAAUGGAUGUGUCUAGAACUAAAAUACAUCUAGAUACAUCCAUUUCAAUCACAAGUAUUUUCGGACGGAGGGAGUACAAG